rnacentral:rRNA from 1 species
GCCUCAGUAACGGCGAGUGAAGCGGCAAAAGCUCAAAUUUGAAAUCUGGCACUUUCAGUGUCCGAGUUGUAAUUUGUAGAAGUAGUUUUGGGACUGGUCCUUAUCUAUGUUUCUUGGAACAGGACGUCAUAGAGGGUGAGAACCCCGUAUGAUGAGGCCCCCAGUCCUUUGUAAAACGCUUUCGAAGAGUCGAGUUGUUUGGGAAUGCAGCUCUAAGUGGGUGGUAAAUUCCAUCUAAAGCUAAAUAUUGGCGAGAGACCGAUAGCGAACAAGUACAGUGAUGGAAAGAUGAAAAGAACUUUGAAAAGAGAGUGAAAAAGUACGUGAAAUUGUUGAAAGGGAAGGGCAUUUGAUCAGACAUGGUGUUUUGCGCCCUUUGCUCCUUGUGGGCGGAGGAUACGCAGCUCACUGGGCCAACAUCAGUUUUGGGAGCAGGAUAAAUCUGUAGGAACGUAGCUUUCUUCGGGAAGUGUUAUAGCCUAUGGGAAUACUGCUACCUGGGACUGAGGACUGCGUCUUUUGACAAGGAUGUUGGCAUAAUGGUUAAAUGCCGCCCGUCUUGAAACAUGGACCAAGGAGUCUAACGUCUAUGCGAG